rnacentral:rRNA from 1 species
ACGAACGCUGGCGGCGUGCCUAAUCCCUGCAAGUAGAACGCUGAAGGAGGAGCUUGCUUCUCUGGAUGAGUUGCGAACGGGUGAGUAACGCGUAGGUAACCUGCCUGGUAGCGGGGGAUAACUAUUGGAAACGAUAGCUAAUACCGCAUAAGAGUAGAUGUUGCAUGACAUUUGCUUAAAAGGUGCAAUUGCAUCACUACCAGAUGGACCUGCGUUGUAUUAGCUAGUUGGUGGGGUAACGGCUCACCAAGGCGACGAUACAUAGCCGACCUGAGAGGGUGAUCGGCCACACUGGGACUGAGACACGGCCCAGACUCCUACGGGAGGCAGCAGUAGGGAAUCUUCGGCAAUGGACGGAAGUCUGACCGAGCAACGCCGCGUGAGUGAAGAAGGUUUUCGGAUCGUAAAGCUCUGUUGUAAGAGAAGAACGAGUGUGAGAGUGGAAAGUUCACACUGUGACGGUAUCUUACCAGAAAGGGACGGCUAACUACGUG